ensembl:lncRNA
AUGUCCCCCGACCGGGGAGGAGGGGGUACCGGGUCUUUCGCUGGGGGCCGGUUCUCUGAGAGGAGUAACCGCUCCUCGUGGACCGAGAGGUCACAGAGCCGACGGGGGGAGAGGAGCAGGAGGAGUAGGAGCAGGGAGAGCAGAAUAGCCCAAAGGAGAGAGAGUCUUCAGAGUGACAGGUCUUGGACCAGUCGUACCAGCACGAGACCCAGGUCGAGGAGUAGGGACAGAGAAAGGAGAGACAGGAGCAGAGAUAGGAGGGACAGAGGCAGGAGCAGGGACAGAGACCGGCUGGAUGGGAGCAGAGACCGAGAUGGGAGCAAGAGAGAGGGGUGGAGGGGUUCACCCACAGAGGCUAGUAGGGGGAGAUCCAGAUCAGCCAGCCCUGGAGAGUCCUCGAAGAGGAAGAGACAGGGGAGCAGGAGUCCUGGAGAGUCCUCUCAGAGGAGGAGACAGGGGAGCAGGAGUCCUGGAGAGUCUUCUCAGAGGAGGAGACAGGGGAGCAGGAGCCCUGGAGAGUCCUCGAAGAGGAGGAGACAGGGGAGCAGGAGUCCUGGAGAGUCCUCGAAGAGGAAGAGACAGGGGAGCAGGAGCCCUGGAGAGUCCUCUCAGAGGAGGAGACAGGGGAGCAGGAGUCCUGGAGAGUCCUCUCAGAGGAGGAGACAGGGGAGCAGGAGCCCUGGGAAAACAUCCCAAAAAGACAAGCAGCCAGCCAACGACAGCAGCGACACGGCUCCAUCACGCCACAAACGCAACAAAAAAAGCAAAAAGAAGAAGAGCAAGAGGAGGAAACCCAAGAGGGACAAAAAGAGCCAGUCGGCUGGGGGUCAGAGUUCAUCUGCAGAGUCAGGGAAGGAGUCUUGGGACGAGGAGAAACCCUCUCCAAACCUUGUAGACAGCAGUACACGGACUCCUCAUGAGGUAGACAACACUACCCAGGAGACUGUGGAUGUAGACAACACUACCCAGGAGACUGUGGAUGUAGACAACAAUACCCAGGAGACUGCUAGGGUAAAUGCCAUACUUAGUCUCAUGUUGUCUGAGUCUCUUGAUAAUGCCAAUGCAGUCACUUCAGACAUACAGACCCAGGUCAAGGAGGAGCCUGAGGAUCCCUGUCCACCUAUUGUCCCCUCUCCUAGCCCUGGGGAUGUGGACAUCGCUCAGACUCCUGAGGCAAACGCACUCUCCCCAGACCUCCAUAGUAUCUUCCUCAAGCAGGAGUAUCCCUCUCUACCCAGUGUGCCUGAAGAGGAAUGUGAACAGGAUCGACCUGAGACGCUGCCUGAUUCCCCUGACGAUGAUGACCCAUAG